CCAGAAGCGAUCUAAUCCCACGAAGCCCUGGGACCUUUUUUCUACAUUUUAAAUGUUUCUAAUCAAUCUAUAUAUGUUUUAUUCGCUUGUAGGAAAAUUGUAAUAUUUUCUUAAUCCACCUCGCCUCCAUCUGCAGUUGAAGUAAUUCCCCUCUAUUUUUCACAAACGGGAACGCCCCUAUUAUACAUGGCCAAUUAUCACCAGGCAUCAGGUCUAAUUAUUCCUAUUUUCAAUUGGGUAAGCGGCUUUUCAAACGAUGAAGGUUCCCCUGAGUGCUGUUAAUAACGAAGCUACACGACACCAAGUCAACGCAAAGUGAGCUCUGCGAUGUUUACUCCAGGCAAUAGACGGGGCCCUCCUAGCCGUCCGCCGCUGUGCCUCAGCGUCUCCUGCAGGGACUCGUGAAGUGUUGCACGGGGCCCUUGUGAUGGUCCUCGUGUGAUAUUUGAGAUCUCAAGUCGCUCCACCCGCCUCGCAGGAUCAGGAUGCUUCUGUGACGUCUGACGCCUGCAUGCCUAUUUACUUUAAAAUGUCACCGCGAUAAUGUGCGUGUGCUCAAAAGCCCUCAAUGACACGGUCACUGUCUUUGUAGCUCCGGUUUAUACCUGUGUAAAUAGAUAUAAAUAUAUGUAAAUAUGUGCAGUUAAAUGUUAUAUGCAUUUAAGGACAGAACAUCGUUAAGUAACAUCACAACCAAACACAAGCGUUUGUGUGAUUUGUAUUAUGCAGUUGGAAGCUAAACAUAGUUAUGUAUGUAAUGAAUGUUAGGGCAGGUUGUACAUGUUUCACUCACAAUUUCACACAAAUUAGAAGAAUUAAUACAAUAUUAUUAUUAUUGAUCCUCACCAUUUCAGAUGAAUGCAGACACCGAAAAAACGGUCACAGAAACUUCAGAAAAUUCUCAGAGACCCUUAAUGGACCACAAAUUUAGAGGAAUGAGGAGGAUGCAUCCUUACCCAGACCCCAGAGGUCAUCGAGGUCGGGGUGGACCAAUGGGCAUGGGCCCUCCUCCUCCCCCACUACAUUUCAGAGGCCCAUUCCCACCCAUGCACAGCGACAGCGUCUGUAGGCACGGAUCCCAUCCUUCAGGUCAUCCUGGUUACAGAGGGUGUCCACCACACCCUGAAGGCCGUGGCAUGUCGCCCCCUGGACCUCCCCGCCACUUCCAUCCCUGCAGCCCAAGGAGGUAAGAGCUGUUUGAAAGUCACAAUUCUCCACACUUUCUUUAUUCAUUUUUAAGCUUUGCUGAAUUUAUUUAAAAUACCUCUGGAGACCUGCUCCAGUUACAGUCCUUUAAUUCUGUACAGCAAAUACACAGUAAACUGCAAGCCCAAAGACAAAAGGAUGAGGUGCAAUGCACAGUCCUUGUUAUUUUUCUCUCAUGCUUCACUAUGUUUAAUUUCUUUCACUUUUAACUGUGCAAUUGUCACUUUUCUCUCAGUUUGUUAAUCAAAUUAAAUCAAUUAAAGAGCCCUUCGUUAAACUAAAGUAAAUAUAAACUAUUUUAAGCCAGACUCUUAAAUAGUGUAUGGAAUAAUGACAACAAUAAGUUCACAGUAACUUACAUUGGAUGAAAUCCCCGACGGGAAUAGUUGAGUUGGCUGCUCUUAUCAGAGUGUGACCUGUAGUUUGUUAAUGGAUCCGAAGCCAUGGAUCCAAUGUGUGAUUUUAUCCUUUUAUACAGCUACCACAUUGGACCGGUCUCUCCUCCACCUCACCCUCCAUCUGGCAGAGGUGAGCGGUGGCCAGGGCCCCCUGGUGGCCGACGCCUUUAACACAGCCUGCCCUACAAACAAUAACCCUAUUAAUGUGGAAAAGGGGACAGAAGGAACUGAAUUAAAUGAACCAAAAACUAAUCUUUAUCUGUUUAUUCACAAACAAGUCUGAGAGUUGUCAUGAUCAUUUACAAAGUAUUUGUAAUAUAUGGGAGGAAAUGAAUGUUUCAUAAUCGAAAGUGAACAUUUGAUUCAAAAGGCAUGUGAUUAUACAUAUAUAUAUGUAUAUAUAUUUUGGAAGCGUGUGGAGGACAAGAGCCUUAUGUAAUGUAAUUCCGGGCUUCCUGGCCUCUGAAACGUAUUGCAGAUGAGAAG